rnacentral:rRNA from 1 species
GCAACGCCGCGUGGAGGAUGACGGCCUUCGGGUUGUAAACUCCUGUCACCAAUGAACAAACGGCAGGUUCAUAGCCUGUCCUGAGUUAACUUGGAGAGGAAGAGGUGGCUAACUCCGUGCCAGCAGCCGCGGUAAUACGGAGACCUCGAGCGUAACUCGGAUUCACUGGGCGUAAAGAGUAUGUAGGCGGUGCGGUAUGUCCGGUGUGAAAUGCCCGGAGCUCAACUCCGGAGUUGCGCCUGAGACUACCGGACUCGAGGCCUGGAGAGGGGAGUGGAAUGCCUGGUGUAGCGGUGAAAUGCGUAGAUAUCAGGAGGAACACCGAUGGCGAAGGCAGCUCUCUGGACAGGUUCUGACGCUGAGAUACGAAAGCGUGGGUAGCGAAAGGGAUUAGAUACCCCGGUAGUCCACGCCGUAAACUUUGUACACUAGAUUUCGGAGGGCCUACCCAUUCGGAGCUCAAGCUAACGCGUUAAGUGUACCGCCUGAGGACUACGGUCGCAAGGCUGAAACUCAAAGGAAUUGACAGGGGCCCGCACCAGCGGUGGAACAUGUGGUUUAAUUCGAUGCAACGCGAAGAGCCUUACCUGGGCUUGACAUAUGUAUGAAGUAUGUAAGAAAUUAUGUAUUCUGUCUGAUUUUUCAGACAGCAUAUAUACAGGUGAUGCAUGGCUGUCGUCAGCUCGUGUCGUGAGAUGUAGGGUUAAGUCCCUUAACGAGCGCAACCCUUACUUUUAGUUGCCAUCAGGUAAAGCUGGGGACUCUAGAAGGACUGCCGAGGUUAACUCGGAGGAAGGUGGGGAUGACGUCAAGUCAGUAUGUCCCUUAUGUCCAGGGCUACACACGUGUUACAAUGGCCGGUACAGAGUGCCGCGAAUCCGCGAGGUGAAGCAAAUCACUCAAAGCCGGUCCCAGUUCGGAUUGGAGUCUGCAAUUCGACUCCAUGAAGUUGGAAUCGCUAGUAAUCGCAGAACAGCACGCUGCGGUGAAUACGUUCCCGGGCCUUGUACACACCGCCCGUCACGCCAUGGAAGUUGGGAGCACCCAAAGUUGCUG